GACGAACGCUGGCGGCGUGCCUAAUACAUGCAAGUCGAGCGGAAAUUUUAUUGGUGCUUGCACCUUUAAAAUUUUAGCGGCGGACGGGUGAGUAACACGUGGGUAACCUACCUUAUAGAUCGGGAUAACUCCGGGAAACCGGGGCUAAUACCGAAUAAUACUUUUUAACACAUGUUUAAAAGUUGAAAGACGGUCUUGCUGUCACUAUAAGAUGGACCCGCGGCGCAUUAGCUAGUUGGAGAGGUAACGGCUCACCAAGGCAACGAUGCGUAGCCGACCUGAGAGGGUGAUCGGCCACACUGGGACUGAGACACGGCCCAGACUCCUACGGGAGGCAGCAGUAGGGAAUCUUCCACAAUGGACGAAAGUCUGAUGGAGCAACGCCGCGUGAGUGAAGAAGGAUUUCGGUUCGUAAAACUCUGUUGCAAGGGAAGAACAAGUAGCGUAGUAACUGGCGCUACCUUGACGGUACCUUGUUAGAAAGCCACGGCUAACUACGUGCCAGCCGCCGCGGUAAAAC
rnacentral:rRNA from 1 species